UAAUGGGUGAUGGCGUGCCUUUUGUAGAAUGAACCGGCGAGUUACGAUUUGAUGCAAGGUUAAGCAGUAAAUGUGGAGCCGUAGCGAAAGCGAGUCUGAAUAGGGCGUUUAGUAUUUGGUCGUAGACCCGAAACCAGGUGAUCUACCCUUGGUCAGGUUGAAGUUCAGGUAACACUGAAUGGAGGACCGAACCGACUUACGUUGAAAAGUGAGCGGAUGAACUGAGGGUAGCGGAGAAAUUCCAAUCGAACCUGGAGAUAGCUGGUUCUCUCCGAAAUAGCUUUAGGGCUAGCCUCAAGUGAUGAUUAUUGGAGGUAGAGCACUGUUUGGACGAGGGGCCCCUCUCGGGUUACCGAAUUCAGACAAACUCCGAAUGCCAAUUAAUUUAACUUGGGAGUCAGAACAUGGGUGAUAAGGUCCGUGUUCGAAAGGGAAACAGCCCAGACCACCAGCUAAGGUCCCAAAAUAUAUGUUAAGUGGAAAAGGAUGUGGCGUUGCCCAGACAACUAGGAUGUUGGCUUAGAAGCAGCCAUCAUUUAAAGAGUGCGUAAUAGCUCACUAGUCGAGUGACACUGCGCCGAAAAUGUACCGGGGCUAAACAUAUUACCGAAGCUGUGGAUUGUCCUUUGGACAAUGGUAGGAGAGCGUUCUAAGGGCGUUGAAGCAUGAUCGUAAGGACAUGUGGAGCGCUUAGAAGUGAGAAUGCCGGUGUGAGUAGCGAAAGACGGGUGAGAAUCCCGUCCACCGAUUGACUAAGGUUUCCAGAGGAAGGCUCGUCCGCUCUGGGUUAGUCGGGUCCUAAGCUGAGGCCGACAGGCGUAGGCGAUGGAUAACAGGUUGAUAUUCCUGUACCACCUAUA
rnacentral:rRNA from 1 species